rnacentral:rRNA from 1 species
CAAUAGCGUAUAUUUAAGUUGUUGCAGUUAAAAAGCUCGUAGUUGGAUUUCGGAUGGGAUUUGCCGGUCCGUCGUUACGAUGUGCACUGGCCAGUCCUAUCUUGUUGUCGGGGACUAGCUCCUUGGAUUCACUUCCUGGGACUAGGAGCUGACGAGGUUACUUUGAGUAAAUUAGAGUGUUCAAAGCAAGCCUACGCUCUGAAUACAUUAGCAUGGAAUAACACGAUAGGACUCUGGCUUAUCUUGUUGGUCUGUGAGACCAGAGUAAUGAUUAAGAGGGACAGUCGGGGACAUUCGUAUUUCAUUGUCAGAGGUGAAAUUCUUGGAUUUAUGAAAGACGAACUACUGCGAAAGCAUUUGCCAAGGAUGUUUUCAUUAA